AAAUGCAGCCUUGCUCCUCUGAGACUCAAGGAAAGAAAUACACCCAGACAUUCUCAGAGGAAUGGAGAUCUGAACAUGAUUUUAAGGACACUGAGAUGCAUAUGAAACUAGAAGUUUAUACACAACAGGAGGAGAAUGAAGAGCAAAUGCACCUGUGCAGUGAAUCAGCAUCUUUAUCACCAUGUAUGUACAAUUAUCAUGAUCAGAUGCCCAGCAAAGACAAUGAAACCCAAAUGAUGGACAAUAUACAGCAGCACAUCACAAAACACGGCUUGAAUGAUUCAGGGGCCAGUGAUGCUUCCAGUGAUGCCAACAAAAUCACAUUCAGCCACAUUGGCUCCCCCAGACAUGAGACACAAACAUUUAAUCUGCCCCUCAGAAAUCAAGAGAUGUUGACCCAGAUAAGAGACAGAUUGGCAGAUGAAGAGCAAAAGAAGGCUGCAGCUCAAGCUAGAUCCCUAAAGCACAAGCAGAAAGUAUAUGGGAAUCCUGAGCUUCAUGAGGCAUACAGAAAAAAGGAGAGAGAGAGAUAUCAAAGACGAAAAUCUCAGGGGAAAGUGAAAUUCGCUAAAGAUCUGAACCCAACAGAACUGAGAAGGCAACAGAAAAAGUGGAGGGAGAAUUCAGCCGCUUACAGGAGAAAGAAAGCAUUUCAGGAGGUUUUAGUCAAUAUUAAAGAAGAAAUUAAUCAAGUCAUCCCAGAGUCAGAGCCGUCCACCUCCUCUGAUCAACAUUAUGGUGUUUUUUAAUGUUCACUGAGAGAUUUGGGCAAAAUAUUCCUGUUUCUCAACUGAUAGAUUAUAUGAGUAUGUCAUUAGCCAGAGCCGAGGUCAUUGGUAGGAUUCCCAGAAAAUGCUCAUCUCAAUGUAUUUAAUGCACUUUACAACAUCUACCAAAUGCAUUAAUGUAAAUAUUCUUUUAAAAAAGUAAACUGCAUGCAUUCUGACAGAAAUACUAGCACAUGCACAUUGAUUCCAUGUCAUCAGUGUAAUAAUUUAAUUAAAAUAUACUUUAGAUUACACAAAUGACCAAGUAUUUAUGAUUCUUUAUGCUCUUGAUGAAUUUUGAAAUAAAAAAAAAAGUGAAUGAAGCA
ensembl:lncRNA